ACAAAAUCUUCAUUUAUUUGAAGACACAAUUCUCUGUACGGGCACUUGCCAUGACUUUAUUUUUGAAUAUUUCUGUGUUCAUGUGGUAGGGAAAACAUUGUUGUAUACUACAAAUUCCCUGUUUUGCUUUUAGGUUGGAGACUACAUAAGACUUUGACAGUUGGCGGGAAACCAUCUUCAACUGGAGAGAUGCCGGAAGAGGAAUGUCUGCGACUAAGUCAAGGGCCACUGGAUAAGGGUUGUUGAUGGCAAAACAGGUUGGAGACUACAUAAGACUUUGACAGUUGGCGGGAAACCAUCUUCAACUGGAGAGAUGCCGGUAAAAAGAUGGCCAUAAAACAGUGACCGCUGAUUCGCAUUGAGUUCUUUCUUACAUAUUGGAUGACCUAUGUUUUUUAUUGUUUAAAUCAUUGCGGCUUGGAAUGCUCUUUAAGAAAAGGUAUGGUUAUGGGGGUGUCUACGCGCAAAAGUUUGACUUUAUUUUUUGUUAAAGUUAUUGCUUUUACAUUGAAUUUGUGCAGGAAAUCUUUUGGUAUGUUGUGA